UGGCUGCGCCCGCGCACGAGUCUGGACGGGGCGGAGGGAGCCGGGAAGCGGAAGCGGCGAGCGCGCCUGGAGCGCAGCUGCGGGCGUGGGGGCGAUAGGAGCCUCGGAGCCGUCCGGAGAGCGGGGCUGCCGGAGCGGGCGGCAGAGGCAAAGGCGACGAUUUAAGAGAUGGUGCUGAUUCAGACGUGCGCACAGUGACACAGGUGCUAAAUGCAGUGCUGGAGGGAGUACAAAUCUGUGGAACCUGUUGCAGAAGCACUUUGGCAAUGUCACAGAGCAGAACUUAGUACUUCUGCGAGUACAUCCUAAAAAUGAAUGCCGAACCCUUACGAAGAGAUAAAGGUUAUUUGGUACAUAUUGGUGGUCUCUGUCCUUUGGUAUCUGAGGUCUCAUUUCCAGAAAUACCAAGUUUCGGAAAUUUCAAUUUAUGAUUCUUCUACUAAUUACAGAUAUGCAUCUCUUGCUUUCCAAAAAAAAAAAAAAAAAACAGUGAUGUAAAGAUGGCUGUGAAAGGAAUGAUGCCAAAAAGUAGGUAACAAGGCUUCCAGGCUCUCUUCAACGCCUCCAAGCUCCCCUUUCUCCAAACACAAAAGGAAGACGAAAACUACAAAUCCCCAUCUGCCCACCCUGCAGUUCCUGGGAAGAGACAGUCCUCAAAUUGUUCCUGCCUAGACCCCUGAAGCCUGGAGAAGGAGAUGGGGACAGGUGUGGCAGCGGGCGAGGAAGGACGUCCAAUGAGGGGACAGACGGGAGAAGGGACAUGGAGAGGAGGGGUCAGCGGAGAUAAAACAGUGAGGGGGAUGAGAAGGAAGAGCAAAAAAACUGGGAGAAAGGAGUGAGGAUCACAGAAGAGAGAGAAAGAUAAAAUGGAAGAGAAAAAGAAGAAAGGGUCAGGGUUAAAGGACGGGGAGACGGUGGCAAAGAGAACGUGGAAAGGCUGUCACUGGGAAGAAGGGAGGUUAAGGCGGUGCCACCUACAGGGCUUUACCCCAGCAGGUGAAUGGGCUGCACGGGGAAGGGGGAACUGGAAACCGAGCGGGUGGUAGCAAGGGGCUCUGGGCAAAGGCAGGAGCCUGAG